rnacentral:rRNA from 1 species
GUAGUGUUACUGACGCUAAAGCUCGAAAGUGCGGGUAUCGAACAGGAUUAGAUACCCUGGUAGUCCGCACGGUAAACGAUGGAUGCCCGCUGUUUGCCCUUCGGGGUGAGUGGCUAAGCGAAAGCGUUAAGCAUCCCACCUGGGGAGUACGCCGGCAACGGUGAAACUCAAAGGAAUUGACGGGGGCCCGCACAAGCGGAGGAACAUGUGGUUUAAUUCGAUGAUACGCGAGGAACCUUACCCGGGCUUGAAUUGCAGAUGACGGAUCUAGAGAUAGUGACUUCCUUCGGGACAUCUGUGAAGGUGCUGCAUGGUUGUCGUCAGCUCGUGCCGUGAGGUGUCGGCUUAAGUGCCAUAACGAGCGCAACCCUUCUCUUCAGUUGCCAUCAGGUAGAGCUGGGCACUCUGGAGACACUGCCACCGUAAGGUGUGAGGAAGGUGGGGAUGACGUCAAAUCAGCACGGCCCUUACGUCCGGGGCUACACACGUGUUACAAUGGCCGGUACAGAAAGUCGGAUGCCCGUAAGGUCAUUCUAAUCAAGAAAGCCGGUCCCAGUUCGGACUGAGGUCUGCAACCCGACCUCACGAAGCUGGAUUCGCU